GUAAAUGAACCAUCAGAUGUAGCAACUGGUAGCACCUCUCUUUCUUGUUCCUGACAAUCAGCCCCACCUCAGCAAGUCAGUAAAGUUAGUCCAAAUUUUUACAGUUCCAUUUCAUUCUUCCAUUCAGACUUCAAGUCUCCUUUUCAGUGUUUUUUUUUUUUUUUUUUGGAUUGAUGAACAUUGUUGUUGGACAAUACAAGACCUCCUGCUCAGCCAUUUCCACAAGAUUUCUGUGAUCUCCAGCAGCAUUGUCUCUUGAUGCCUGCCUCUCCUGGAGUGACUGUAGUCGGACAACUAUAUUCCACUACAUACAGGUCAUUAUCUGAUGGAUUUGUAUACGUUUUUCCAACAAAAGCAGUAAAUGCUAGCAAGACUUUAAAUUGGGAAUAUUUAAUUUGAUAUUUGUUAUUUGAGUCUUUUUAUAGUUCCUUAUGACUAAUGAUAUUUCUGACAAACAUUCAGCACUACAUAUGAAAUAUAAUCUUAAAUGAACAUUUUCUGUUAUUGCAGACUUAACAAUGUCUGUUAUGAUAAACACACUACAUGCACAUUGUAGUAUACGUAACCUGUGAAUUAAUUAUAUUUCAAUACAAAGCAGUUAAGUCUCUCAAUCACAAAACAUGUUUUUGAGCAGUAUAUUACAGAAGCAUAGAAAUGUAUCUAAAUGCACACAAAUUCAUAUGAAAUUAACAAUGAAAAUUGUGGUUUAUUAAUUUGAUGUUGUGUAUGUUGUAGAUUGGCCAAAGGUUUGCAGAACACGUUUCCACGGAACAAGGAAAUGUACACCCCAUGAACAAGCAGAGAACAUUCAGUGUGGUGGCCAGAGAGAUCCUGACUCAGUUUCAGGUGUGGCAGAAGGCCUGCUAUAGCAGGAACAUUGAGUGGGGCCCGAUUACAGCGAAGGUUCGGUCCUCUUCAUUUGUUCCGUCUGAUGAGAUGAUCCAUUUUGAUGACCUGGAAUGAAUGAAGAUAAAGGCAUGUUUUCAGAGAGUGUAUUGUGCUUUACUGUUACACAGAUCAUUUCUGCAUUGCCACAGCUGUAUGGACGUGAGGCAGAGGUGAUCGUACGAUGUACUAAGAUGCUACACAACCGCAGGG
ensembl:lncRNA